rnacentral:rRNA from 1 species
UACGAAGGGGGCAAGCGUUGUUCGGAAUUACUGGGCGUAAAGGGCGCGUAGGCGGUGCGUUAAGUUAGGCGUGAAAGCCCUGGGCUCAACCCGGGAACUGCGCUUGAUACUGGCGCGCUAGAAUCCAGGAGAGGUUGGUGGAAUUCCCAGUGUAGAGGUGAAAUUCGUAGAGAUUGGGAAGAACACCGGUGGCGAAGGCGGCCAACUGGACUGGUAUUGACGCUGAGGCGCGAAAGCGUGGGGAG